rnacentral:rRNA from 1 species
UUGAACGCUGGCGGCAUGCUUUACACAUGCAAGUCGAACGGUAGACCCUUUCGGGGGUUGAGAGUGGCGAACGGGUGAGUAAUGCAUCGGAACAUACCCAGUCGUGGGGGAUAACGUAGCGAAAGUUACGCUAAUACCGCAUGAGUCCUGAGGGAGAAAGCAGGGGAUCGCAAGACCUUGCGCUUUAGGAGCGGCCGAUGUCGGAUUAGCUAGUUGGUGAGGUAAAGGCUCACCAAGGCGACGAUCCGUAGCGGGUCUGAGAGGAUGAUCCGCCACACUGGGACUGAGACACGGCCCAGACUCCUACGGGAGGCAGCAGUGGGGAAUUUUGGACAAUGGGCGCAAGCCUGAUCCAGCCAUGCCGCGUGAGUGAAGAAGGCCUUCGGGUUGUAAAGCUCUUUCGGCGGGGAAGAAAUCGCACGGGUUAAUACCUCGUGUGGAUGACGGUACCCGAAUAAGAAGCACCGGCUAACUACGU